rnacentral:lncRNA from 1 species
UACGCCCACCAAGGCAACAUAACAUCCAGACAGCAACCCCAAGGGCAAAGUGAGGAGGAUUUUCUGAUUAUGUCAUCAAACAGGAAACCUCAUGGAGACUCUGGGAUUAAUGUAUUUUCCACUGGAGCUGAAAGCAGGCAGGAUAUAGUCACUGGAAGAGAGAGAGGGAGGGGAAAGUGCUGGUAGGGGUGGAGGUGGUGUCUUUAAUAUGACAUUUAAAGAAAUCACUCAUGUAUUCACAUCUAAAGCCUCCAAGCAAAUAAAGACUUUGAAACUUCAGUUGACUGUGGUAAUAAGCAAAUUGCAGAGGCAUGGGGUACGCACCCCACAAAGCGCUUCUCUAAACCAUGGCACCAUUCUUGCUCCAGAUGGCAUGGAAAAUAAUUUAUAAAUGACAAAAGUUCAUUGGGUGUGUGGCAGCUGUUCAUUUCGAGCUCUUUGGCCACCCACUUCAGUAGAACUGAGAGCUUUCAAUCAACUCUUGUCUCUCGGAGGGACUUCAAACAGCAUCAGAACAUGUGUACAAUAUGUUCUCACAAAGUCGCUGGCCAAAUAUGAAAGAUUACAAAAUCAAGUUAAAUCGAAAUGGAAAAUACAAAUAUAUACCAUUUUCUCUGAAUUCUGUGAUACCAAGCAUGGGCUAGCAAGGGACUCGAGUUUUCAAAACCAAACUUUGCGUGGUCUUUCUUUUUUGUCCCCUUCACAUGUACUCACAGCUUCCUUUCCCAUCAAAUGAAAAGUACCUCACAUUUUGGCAGGUAUUUUAAUGGGAGUCAACACCACACUUCAUCGACUCCAACAGCCCCUUACAUUAACAAAGCGCUCCAGCUUAGCCAUGAACCAACUGCUACUUUGAAACAGGCCAUCAUCCACUUAAUCCUUCUGUUCUGAGCCUCCAAACAAAGCCCACAAAUUCUAAAGGACCACCAAGUCGCAAAAUAAAUAUUUCUGCCCGUUUAUUUGGGAAGGGUGGCUUGAUUGCUAUUCAAGUCUGGAUAAAUCAUUGACCAAAACAGAAAGGGGAGUAGAAAUGAUUAUAUUAACUUAAUUAUUGGAGUUACUUCAAACCAAAGUGAAUCAUAAUGACAAAGAGAACCUAAACAAUUUGGCAAAAGAGCCACUUCCAAGCAUGGCAACCACAAGAGGUAAAGUGACCAUUUAGGCAGGGAAAAUUUUUAGGCGAGUAAACAUUGUAAAGCCAUCUGCCGGACAGACUCGUCAACACGCACUGACCACAGAGGCUUUCCAAGGGUUAAGGUGACCAGGUUGGAACCGGAUAGACUGUGGAAGGAUGAUGAACAGACGACACCCUUUUGUAAACUACCUAACACAGGAAACGAAGAUCUUAUCACUGUAGGCACCAGCCCAACCACUCACUCCUGCUUCUGUCCUCUCCAAAUAGCAUUCUCUUCACUGAGGAGGCUUGCUAAGGCCUGGGAGGUAGCUCUCCCGAAUAAUAUGUCUGGGGUCUGGUGGGGGGAAAAAAAAUCGUACUGAGCUAACCUACAGCAAACAAUUUUAGGUGAAAAUUUUAACAAUCAAAAAAGAUUUUGUGAGGACCUGUCAUGGCUCAGCAGUUAGUGAACCUGGCUAGCAUCCAUGAGGACAUGGGAUCAAUCCCCAGCCUCACUCUGUGGGUUAAGGAUUCUGGGUUGCUGUGAGCUGUGGUGUAGGUUGCAGAUGCGGCUCGAAUCCCACGUUGCUGUGGCUCUGGUGUAGGCCAGCGGCUACAGCUCCGAUUUGACCCCAAGCCUGGGAACCUCCAUAUGCUGUAGAUGGGGCCCUAAAAAGAAAAAAGACCAGAAAAAAAAAAAAAAAGGAAAAAAAAAAAGAUUUUGAAGAACAUCAAUACCAUUUAGAAACAAGUGUCCUUCAAGUUCAUAUUCAGUUUCACAUAAGCCCUUAGAGCAUGCCUGUCCAGUUUAUUACGAUUCAGAUAAUGGUGCAGCUUAUGAAUUAUCUUUUAUACGUGGCUCUACUCGUUCAUCUAGAAAUGCAAAACACAAGAGUUAUCAAAAGUUGGUCAAAUAUUGUACGCCUGGAGGGAGUAACAUCAGGACAAACAUUAAAAAUCCAGUCAUUUUCUCUUUUUUAAAACAUGUUUUCUACACUUUCCAGCUGUUACAAGGGAUGAAAAAUCAGAAAUGCAGAGUUUUCUUUUCAAAUAGUAAAGGCGUCUGGACACCUACCCAGAGUUGAGCAGUAGAUAGAUCUGGCAAAUGUUAAAAUUAUUCUGAAGAUACUGUAAGGAUUACAUUUCAUAUCCAACAAAUUUUAUUCGCUGUGCAAAAUAUCUGUAGUUAAACAAAUUAUUCCAAACUUGGGACUGAAUACACUCAAUAAAGCUGUCAAAGAACAAGGAUCCGUUGUCUCUUUUCUCUGCCUCAAGGAACUUGGACAGACAGCCACCAGUCUGCUGAACUCUCUGUGGACCUCAAGGGUGAAUUUCUGUAGGACAAUCUCUAGACUGCAAAAUGAGCUUAAACAAGUGGUUCUGUAACUUUAGACUCCCUAUGUUAGGAUAUUACACUGAAUUCCAAGUUUGAGUCUGGGGCUGCUUCAUACCAAGUCCACUCGCCACAGAUACAACCCAUCAAAAGCAGCAGUGCAAGGUAGUCAAUACAAUUAGAGUAUUUUAGAAUACAUAUUCUAAAACAAGGUUAAACUAUUGUAGCCAGUGCUGUUAUAUAUGCUACAGCAAACGACAUAAUCAAGAGUUGCUUUUGUGGAACUGGAUGUUAUCUCCCUGAAUUUCCAAAGCACACUACACAUACCAGAACUUUAUCCAACAAAAUCUGGCUACAUUUUAUGGCAAUAACCCAGUUCAACAUGUUUUAAUCCAAAUAAGCAGAUUAUUAAAAGCAGAUCAUCAGUACCUGACUUUACAAUUUACCAUAACACUACAGUAAUCAAGACAGUGUGGUACUGGUGAAAGGACAGACAGCAGACCAUUGGAACAGAGAUAGACAGUGGACCAUUGGAACAGAAUGGAGAGUCCACAAAUAGACUUACACAAAUACAGUCAAAUACUGGUCGUUGACAAAGGAGAAAAGGCAACGCGUUGCAACAAGGGUAGUAUUUUCAACAAAUGUGCCAGACCUGGACACCCACAGGGAGAAAAAAAAAAAAUUAAUCUAGACUUUACAACCUUCACAAAAAUCAGCUCAGAAUGGACGACAGAGGACCUAGAUGUGGCGUUCCUUCCUGGUUCAGCAGUAAUGAAUCUGACCAGGAUCCAGGAGGACGUGCGUUGGAUCCUGGCCUCACUCAGUGGGUUGCUGUAAGCUGCGGUCUAAGAGGCAGAUGCAGCUCAGAUCUGGCAUUGCUGUGGCUGGGGUGGAGGCCAGCAGCUGUAGCUCUGAUUCGACCUCUAACCUAACCUGGGAACUUCCAUAUGCCGUGGGUACAGCCCUAAAAAGACUAAAAACAAACAAACAAACAAGCAAAAAAACAAACCCUAGAUACCUAGAUGUAAAACACAGAACUCUACAAAACUCACAGUAGAAGAUAACAGAGAAAAUCUAGAUACCUUGGGUGUGGCAGUGCCGUUACAGAUACAACCAAAGGAACAAUCCAUGAAAGGAAGAGGUGAUAACCUGAACGUCAUUAAAAUUAAAAAUCUCUGCUCUGUCAAAGAAAAUGUCACAAGAAUGAGAACAAGCCACAGACUGUGAGAAAGUAUUUGCAACAGACACAGAUGAUAAAGGACUAUUCUCCUAAAUAUGCUUAUAAUUCUUAAAACUUGGCAACCAUAAAACAACAUGAUGAAAAAAACGGGCCAAAGAUCUUAACAGACACUUCACCAAAGAUAUACAGACAAAUAAGGAUACGAAAAGAUACUCAUCAUAUGUCAAGGAAGUACAAAUUAAGGCACAUCUACUAAAAUGGCCAAAAUCCAGAACACUGACACCACCAAAUGCUGACAAGGAUGUGCACAACAGGAUCGCUCAUUCACUGCUGGCUGGAGUGCCCAACAGUACAGCUACUUUUGAAGACAAUUUGACGGUUUCCUACAAAACUGAAAAUUCUCUUACCCUACGAUCCAGCAAUCAUAGUCCUUGGUAUUUACCCUAGAGAGCUGAAUACUCAUGUCCACACAAAAGCCUGCACACAGAUCUUCAUGACAGCUUUAUUCACAACUGCCAAAACUUGGAAACAACCAAGACGUCCUUCAGUAGGUGAAUGGAUCAAGAAGCUAUGGUACAUUCCAGACAAUCAACUAUUAUUCAGUCCUAAAAAGAAAUAAGCACUCGAGCCAUGAAAAGACAUAGAGGAGUUAAAUGCAUAUUCCUUGGUGAAAGAAGCCGAUCUGAAAAGGCGACAUACUGUAUGAUACCAACUCAAUGACAUUCUGGAAAAAGCAAUGCUAUGGAGACAGCAAAAAGGCUAGUGGCUGCCAGGGGUGGGGAGGAAUCAGUAGGGGGAAGGCAGAGGAUUUUUUUAGGGCAGUGAAAAUACUCUGCAUACUAUAGUAAUAGAUACAUAUUGCGCAUUUGUCCAACCCCAAGCAAAAGGUGCAACACCAAGAACGACCUGUAAAGUAAACUAUAGACUUUGCGUGAUUAUGACAUGUCUAUGUAGGUUUAUCCUAUAGUCCCGCUCUGGUGAAGGAUGUUGAGAAAGUAGGAGACUAUGCCUGUGUGGGGCUGAGGGUAUAUGGAAAACUUCUCCAUUGCACUAUGCAACUUAAACUGCUCUAAAAAUAGUCUUAAAUUUUUACAUUUUCCUAAAGACAAAUAAAACUCUUUUCUAAAAUGUCAUGAAGAUGACUCAAGAUCAUUGUUGUCCAACAGAACUUUCUGUGAAGAUAGAAACAAUUUACAUCACUUUCAGCCUUGUCGUGACCUGCUGCUAAACACACGAAAUGGGGUUCUCAUAACUGCGGAACUGAAUUUUCAGUUUUAAAAUAAAAUCAAUGAACAUUACAUAAAUUUAAAUAGCCACAUGUGGAUAGUGACUACCAUAUGGGGCAGCCUGGUUCUAGAAAGCUCUAUCAGUAGGAAAAGAAAUGCACCCCUUGAGCUCCAAUUCGAAAAUCCAGAACAGAAGAAUGAUUUUGCAAUUAGAAUUACAGUUCAGUUUCAACAGAUCAAACAUGUGAUGGACUCUCAAUAUCUCUGCAGCAAUUACCUUAGGAAUCACUGUAAAAACUAAUAGGGGACAUUGAUCUAAAAGCUCUAUGUGUCAUUUGAUUUUAUUUGUAGACAUUUCUCAUCCAAUAUUAGGAACUGGGAAAGAAUAAGGGAAUGAAUUAUAAAAAUGGGCAUCAGGUUGCCCCAUGAGUAUUUUAGGAAGAAAAAGUUACAUUGAAACAAAUAUUCAUUUCAUUCUGUCAGUAUUAUUUGCCCCUAAUUUUAAGAAUGAGAAGAUAGAAAAGGCCUUGGUCUAGCACUUUACGAUUUGUAUUCUUAUACCUUGAUAGACAUAACAGUGGGUUGAUUUUGUCAGGUGUAAACAGUGUUUUCGCACUUUCUAUAGAAAGCGUGCCUUCGUUAUUAUUCAACUUUAAUUAAGUCAUAACACCUGAAAGAUCUGGUAGUGAGUUUCAAAUGCUACACACAGCUAACCACAGAAACAGGGCUGGAAUGUGAGC